GCGCUCCACCUUUCGGGGCGCUGGUUUCGGGUACCUUAGGGUCCCAAGGCCAUAACCCGCAAAGGGGUGGUAGCCAUUAUUUCUCUCUCGCAGACAUCAACUCUCUCAAACUAGUCUCUUCUAAGGCUCCUUCCUUUGGUGGGCCCUGGAAGAUACCGACCUCGCUGUGAGGCCUCAAAAAAGCAAAACAAGAAAAACGCAACAAACUUGAGAAAAAGAUUAGUUUUGGAGGCUGCCAAACAUGACUUAGUUUUUAAAAAUAUGAACUCUAAAAAAAUAUAAAGCUACAAGGAAUGAUAAAGCUUAACAGCAGUGUAAGUCAACAAGGUCGAGUUCUUCACUCUGAACAGUAAAACCACGAAAUGAGAGGAAGCUAAAAAAGCAAGCUGGACACAAUGCUGAAAACUGUCUGGUUAAGUCACUGGCUCCGUAGCCAAGAAGCUAUCCUGAGAACAAGCCUUUUGCUUAGAUUUCAAGGUCUGCCUUCUGGAUCAGAGAGACUAGACAAGAAAUGAUGACUGUAUUGGCCCAAAUCUACAACUGCAACUUGAAAAACGCCUCAAAGAACAUUCUGUGCUCACAGUGGGCUUGGACCAUUGUUUUAACAUGUGAAGAAUGAAACUGUCUACAUUAUCACUAUAACUUCUUCCUCACCUUGCCUCUGUCUGCUACAAAUCAUUAGACUAAAGAUCUUUUCUCUCUUUUGCCCAUAUCAGCCUUCUCAUGACUUUGUCUAAGGGUCACACUCAGGACAGCCUUGUGUGGAAGAGGUCUCUGAGGUUGUAUGAUUUAAAUGCCACUGCCAAAAUAACCCCAAAGAGUCAUCCAUGUGCUGGACACUGGGCCUAUAUUAGGUCUUAGGGAGCUCUUAUUUUAUAUUAACUAUUUGACUACCCAAUUACAUGACAUUUGGUUGGCUUUUUCUUAUUGGUGACAUUUGACUCUUUUAGAGAAAACUUGGCUUAAGGAAAUGCUAGUAGGCUUUGUUUAAAGCAUUUAUUGUAAACUUUUUUUUUCUCAGUUCUUUGAUUUCCUCAUAUUUCAUCACUGAGAUAAUCGUCUAUCAGAUGACCACUCCUAAUAGAUGCUCCUUACUCCUAGAAGUCAUCAUCUCAUGAGUAUGAGCUCACUGCUUGGGAAAUGACUCAUAAUCUAACAUAGGGUGGUUAAUAUCAUUGUGCUUAAAAAUUGGGGUGCCAUUUUAUUCACUUCAUAAACAU